UACGGAGGGUGCGAGCGUUGUCCGGAAUCAUUGGGCGUAAAGGGCGCGUAGGUGGCCCGGUGAGUCUUUGGUGAAAGCGCGGGGCUCAACCCUGCGUCGGCCAGGGAUACUGCCGCGGCUCGAGCACUGUAGAGGCAGGCGGAAUUCCGGGUGUAGCGGUGGAAUGCGUAGAGAUCCGGAAGAACACCGGUGGCGAAGGCGGCCUGCUGGGCAGUGGCUGACGCUGAGACGCGAAAGCGUGGGGAGCAAACAGG
rnacentral:rRNA from 1 species